GAUGAACGCUGGCGGCGUGCCUAAUACAUGCAAGUAGAACGCUGAAGCUUGGUGCUUGCACCGAGCGGAUGAGUUGCGAACGGGUGAGUAACGCGUAGGUAACCUGCCUCUUAGCGGGGGAUAACUAUUGGAAACGAUAGCUAAUACCGCAUAAAAGUCGAUAUCGCAUGAUAUUGAUUUGAAAGGUGCAAUUGCAUCACUAAGAGAUGGACCUGCGUUGUAUUAGCUAGUUGGUGAGGUAACGGCUCACCAAGGCGACGAUACAUAGCCGACCUGAGAGGGUGAUCGGCCACACUGGGACUGAGACACGGCCCAGACUCCUACGGGAGGCAGCAGUAGGGAAUCUUCGGCAAUGGGGGCAACCCUGACCGAGCAACGCCGCGUGAGUGAAGAAGGUUUUCGGAUCGUAAAGCUCUGUUGUAAGAGAAGAACGAGUGUGAGAGGGAAAGUUCACAC
rnacentral:rRNA from 1 species